ACGAACGCUGGCGGCAUGCCUAACACAUACACGUCGAACGAGACCUUCGGGUCUAGUGGCGCACGGGUGCGUAACGCGUGGGAACCUGCCCUUAGGUUCGGAAUAACUCCCCGAAAGGGGUGCUAAUACCGGAUAAUGUCUUCGGACCAAAGGUUUGUCGCGUUUGGAUGGGCCCGCGUUGGAUUAGCUAGUUGGUAGGGUAAAAGCCUACCAAGGCGACGAUCCAUAGCUGGUCUGAGAGGAUGAUCAGCCACACUGGGACUGAGACACGGCCCAGACUCCUACGGGAGGCAGCAGUGGGGAAUAUAGGACAAUGGGCGAAAGCCUGAACCAGCAAUGCCGCGUGAGUGAUGAAGGCCGUAGGGUUGUAAAGCUCUUUUACCCGGGAUGAUAAUGACAGUACCGAGAGAAUAAGCUCCGGCUAACUCCGUG
rnacentral:rRNA from 1 species